rnacentral:rRNA from 1 species
CCUACGGUGUGCAGCAGUGAGGAAUAUUGGUCAAUGGGCGCGAGCCUGAACCAGCCAAGUAGCGUGAAGGAUGACUGCCCUACGGGUUGUAAACUUCUUUUAUAAAGGCAUAAAGUGAGGCACGUGUGCCUUUUUGUAUGUACUUUAUGAAUAAGGAUCGGCUAACUCCGUGCCAGCAGCCGCGGUAAUACGGAGGAUCCGAGCGUUAUCCGGAUUUAUUGGGUUUAAAGGGAGCGUAGGUGGGUUGUUAAGUCAGUUGUGAAAGUUUGCGGCUCAACCGUAAAAUUGCAAUUGAAACUGGCAGCCUUGAGUACAGUUGAGGUAGGCAGAAUUCGUGGUGUAGCGGUGAAAUGCUUAGAUAUCACGAAGAACCCCGAUUGCGAAGGCAGCCUGCUAAACUGCCACUGACAUUGAUGCUCGAAAGUGUGGGUAUCAAACAGGAUUAGAUACCCUAGUAGUC